AGGACGAACGCUGGCGGCGUGCUUAACACAUGCAAGUCGAGCGGAAAGGCCCUUCGGGGUACUCGAGCGGCGAACGGGUGAGUAACACGUGAGUAAUCUGCCCCUAGCUCUGGGAUAGCUCCGGGAAACCGGGAUUAAUACCGGAUACGACCCCUUCGGACAUCUGAAGGGGUGGAAAGAUUUAUCGGUUAGGGAUGAGCUCGCGGCCUAUCAGCUUGUUGGUGGGGUAACGGCCCACCAAGGCGACGACGGGUAGCCGGCCUGAGAGGGCGACCGGCCACACUGGGACUGAGACACGGCCCAGACUCCUACGGGAGGCAGCAGUGGGGAAUAUUGCGCAAUGGGCGAAAGCCUGACGCAGCGACGCCGCGUGGGGGAUGAAGGCCUUCGGGUUGUAAACCUCUUUUCCCGGGGACGAUGAUGACGGUACUCGGGGAAUAAGUCACGGCUAACUACGUGCCAGCAGCCGCGGUAAUACGUAG
rnacentral:rRNA from 1 species